rnacentral:rRNA from 1 species
AUUGAACGCUGGCGGCAGGCCUAACACAUGCAAGUCGAGCGGAUGAAGGGAGCUUGCUCCUGGAUUCAGCGGCGGACGGGUGAGUAAUGCCUAGGAAUCUGCCUGGUAGUGGGGGAUAACGUCCGGAAACGGGCGCUAAUACCGCAUACGUCCUGAGGGAGAAAGUGGGGGAUCUUCGGACCUCACGCUAUCAGAUGAGCCUAGGUCGGAUUAGCUAGUUGGUGGGGUAAAGGCCUACCAAGGCGACGAUCCGUAACUGGUCUGAGAGGAUGAUCAGUCACACUGGAACUGAGACACGGUCCAGACUCCUACGGGAGGCAGCAGUGGGGAAUAUUGGACAAUGGGCGAAAGCCUGAUCCAGCAAUGCCGCGUGUGUGAAGAAGGUCUUCGGAUUGUAAAGCACUUUAAGUUGGGAGGAAGGGCAGUAAGUUAAUACCUUGCUGUUUUGACGGUACCAACAGAAUAAGCACCGGCUAACUUCGUG